CCUACGGGUGGCAGCAGUCGAGAAUUUUUCUCAAUGGGCGAAAGCCUGAAGGAGCGACGCCGCGUGGGGGAUGAAUGGCUUCGGCCCGUAAACCCCUGUCAUUUGUGAACAAGUUAAUUUAAUUAAUAAUUAAGUUAUUGAUAGUAGCAGAAGAGGAAGGGACGGCUAACUCUGUGCCAGCAGCCGCGGUAAUACAGAGGUCCCAAGCGUUGUUCGGAUUCACUGGGCGUAAAGGGUGCGUAGGCGGUUGUUUAAGUCUGACGUGAAAUCUCCAAGCUCAACUUGGAAACUGCGUUGGAUACUAUUCGACUCGAGGAAUGGAGGGGAGACUGGAAUACUUGGUGUAGCAGUGAAAUGCGUAGAUAUCAAGUGGAACACCAGUGGCGAAGGCGAGUCUCUGGACAUUUCCUGACGCUGAGGCACGAAAGCCAGGGGAGCAAACGGGAUUAGAUACCCGAGUAGUC
rnacentral:rRNA from 1 species